CCCUUAGAUGUUCUGGGCCGCACGCGCGCUACACUGACGAAUGCAACGAGCUUAUAACCUUGGCCGAAAGGUCUGGGUAAUCUCCAAAUUUCGUCGUGAUGGGGAUAGAUUAUUGCAAUUAUUAAUCUUCAAAGAGGAAUGCCUAGUAAGCGCAAGUCAUCAGCUUGCGUUGAUUACGUCCCUGCCCUUUGUACACACCGCCCGUCGCUCCUACCGAUUGAAUGGUCCGGUGAAGCGUUCGGACCGUGGCCUUUGGACGGUUCGCCGUCUGUUGGCUGCGGGAAGUUCGUUAAACCUUAUCAUUUAGAGGAAGGAGAAGUCGUAACA
rnacentral:rRNA from 1 species